CCUACGGGGGGCUGCAGUGAGGAAUAUUGGGCAAUGGAGGCAACUCUGACCCAGCCAUGCCGCGUGAGUGAAGAAGGUAUUCGGAUUCUAAAGCUCUUUCGGAUGUGACGAUGAUAACGGUAGCAUCUAAAGAAGCCCCGGCUAACUUCGUGCCAGCAGCCGAGGUAAUACGAAGGGGGCAAGCGUUGUUCGGAGUGACUGGGCGUAAAGGGGGUGUAGGCGGUUUAGUAAGAUAGUGGUGAAAUCCCAGAGCUUAACUUUGGAAUCGCCAUUAUAACUAUUAGACUAGAGUUACAGAGAGGAUAGUGGAAUACGCAGUGUAGAGGUGAAAUUCGUAGAUAUUGGGUAGAACACCAGUGGCGAAGGCGACUAUCUGGCUGUACAUUGACGCUGAGGCUCGAAAGCAUGGGGAUCAAACAGGAUUAGAUACCCGGGUAGUC
rnacentral:rRNA from 1 species